rnacentral:rRNA from 1 species
GAUAAACGCUGGCGGCGUGCCUAACACAUGCAAGUCGAACGAUCCCGCAAGGGAGAGUGGCGGAAGGGUGAGUAACACGUGGGAAUCUACCUCCUCGCAGGGAACAACCUCUCGAAAGAGAGGCUAAUACCCAAAAGGGUCAGAAAUGAUCAGAGUCGAAAGGCGUGAGGAGAGGAGCCCGCGGCCCAUCAGCUAGUUGGUGAGGUAAUGGCUUACCAAGGCUACGACGGGUAGGGGAUCUGAGAGGAUGUCCCCCACACUGGAACUGAAACAACGGUCCAGACGCCUACGGGUGGCAGCAGUGAGGAAU